rnacentral:rRNA from 1 species
UACGUAGGGGGCAAGCGUUGUCCGGAAUCAUUGGGCGUAAAGAGCGUGUAGGCGGCCUGUUAAGUCUGGUGUGAAAUCUGAGGGCUCAACCCUCAGCGGUCACUGGAAACUGGCAGGCUCGAGUCCGGAAGAGGAGAGUGGAAUUCCUGGUGUAGCGGUGAAAUGCGCAGAUAUCAGGAGGAACACCUGUGGCGAAGGCGGCUCUCUGGUACGUGACUGACGCUGAGACGCGAAAGCGUGGGGAGCGAACAGG